rnacentral:rRNA from 1 species
GGGCCCGCACAAGCAGCGGAGCAUGUUGCUUAAUUCGAGGCAACGCGAAGAACCUUACCUGUGGCUUGACAUGGUGGGAAAAGCCGUGGAGACACGGUGUCCUUCGGGGCCCAUCACAGGUGGUGCAUGGCUGUCGUCAGCUCGUGUCGUGAGAUGUUGGGUUAAGUCCCGCAACGAGCGCAACCCUUGUCCUAUGUUGCCAGCGGGUAAUGCCGGGGACUCGUAGGAGACUGCCGGGGUCAACUCGGAGGAAGGUGGGGACGACGUCAAGUCAUCAUGCCCCUUACGUCCAGGGCUGCAAACAUGCUACAAUGGCCGGUACAAAGGGCCGCGAGCCCGCGAGGGUAAGCCAAUCCCAUAAAGCCGGUCUCAGUUCGGAUUGGAGUCUGCAACUCGACUCCAUGAAGCCGGAGUUGCUAGUAAUCCCGGAUCAGCAUUGCCGGGGUGAAUACGUUCCCGGGCCUU